rnacentral:rRNA from 1 species
CGACAUAAUGCAACUAGCACAAUCUAAUAAUCACCACCACCACCACCACUAAACCCAGCUUUCUUGUACAAAGUCGCAAGAAAAGCCUCUAAGCUUCAGUCUAACAAGACCGUACCGCAAACCGACACAGGUGGGCGAGAUGAGUAUUCUAAGGCGCUUGAGAGAACUCGGGAGAAGGAACUCGGCAAAUUGGUACCGUAACUUCGGGAUAAGGUACGCCCUUGUAGCUUGACUGGCCUGCGCCAGGAGGGUGAGAGGGUUGCAAUAAACUGGUGGCUGCGACUGUUUAAUAAAAACACAGCACUCUGCAAACACGAAAGUGGACGUAUAGGGUGUGACGCCUGCCCGGUGCCGGAAGAUUAAAUGAUGGGGUGCAAGCUCUUGAUUGAAGUCCCGGUAAACGGCGGCCGUAACUAUAACGGUCCUAAGGUAGCGAAAUUCCUUGUCGGGUAAGUUCCGACCUGCACGAAUGGCGUAACGAUGGCCACACUGUCUCCUCCCGAGACUCAGCGAAGUUGAAGUGUUUGUGAUGAUGCAAUCUCCCCGCGGCUAGACGGAAAGACCCCAUGAACCUUUACUGUAGCUUUGCAUUGGACUUUGAACCGAUCUGUGUAGGAUAGGUGGGAGGCUAUGAAACCGGAACGCUAGUUUCGGUGGAGCCGUCCUUGAAAUACCACCCUGGUUUGUUUGAGGUUCUAACCUUGGUCCGUUAUCCGGACUGGGGACAGUGCAUGGUAGGCAGUUUGACUGGGGCGGUCUCCUCCCAAAGUGUAACGGAGGAGUACGAAGGUACGCUAGGUACGGUCGGAAAUCGUGCUGAUAGUGCAAUGGCAUAAGCGUGCUUAACUGCGAGACCGACAAGUCGAGCAGGUGCGAAAGCAGGUCAUAGUGAUCCGGUGGUUCUGUAUGGAAGGGCCAUCGCUCAACGGAUAAAAGGUACUCUGGGGAUAACAGGCUGAUACCGCCCAAGAGUUCAUAUCGACGGCGGUGUUUGGCACCUCGAUGUCGGCUCAUCUCAUCCUGGGGCUGUAGCCGGUCCCAAGGGUAUGGCUGUUCGCCAUUUAAAGAGGUACGUGAGCUGGGUUUAAAACGUCGUGAGACAGUUUGGUCCCUAUCUGCCGUGGGCGUUGGAUAUUUGAAGGGGGCUGCUCCUAGUACGAGAGGACCGGAGUGGACGAACCUCUGGUGUACCGGUUGUCACGCCAGUGGCAUCGCCGGGUAGCUAUGUUCGGAAGAGAUAACCGCUGAAAGCAUCUAAGCGGGAAACUCGCCUUAAGAUGAGAUAUCCCCGGGGACUUGAUCCCCUUGAAGGGUCGUUCUAGACCAGGACGUUGAUAGGUCAGGUGUGGAAGUGCAGUAAUGCAUUAAGCUAACUGAUACUAAUUGCCCGUAAGGCUUGAUCCU